GACGAACGCUGGCGGCGUGCCUAAUACAUGCAAGUCGAACGAGAGCGCCCGGUGCUUGCACUGGUCAAUCUAGUGGCGAACGGGUGAGUAACACGUGGGUAACCUGCCCAUCAGAGGGGGAUAACAUCCGGAAACGGAUGCUAAAACCGCAUAGGUCUUCGAGCCGCAUGGCUUGAAGAGGAAAAGAGGCGCAAGCUUCUGCUGAUGGAUGGACCCGCGGUGCAUUAGCUAGUUGGUGAGGUAACGGCUCACCAAGGCCGUGAUGCAUAGCCGGCCUGAGAGGGUGAUCGGCCACAUUGUGACUGAGACACGGCCCAAACUCCUACGGGAGGCAGCAGUAGGGAAUCUUCCGCAAUGGACGCAAGUCUGACGGAGCAACGCCGCGUGAGUGAAGAAGGUUUUCGGAUCGUAAAACUCUGUUGUUAGAGAAGAACAAGUGCUAGAGUAACUGUUAGCGCCUUGACGGUAGCUAACCAGAAAGCCACGGCUAACUACGUG
rnacentral:rRNA from 1 species